rnacentral:rRNA from 1 species
CGUAGCCGGAGCGAAAGCGAGUCUGAAUAGGGCGCGUAGUCAGUGGGGGUAGACGCGAAACCUUGUGAUCUACCCAUGGCCAGGAUGAAGUUGCAGUAACAUGCAAUGGAGGUCCGAACUGGUAAACGUUGAAAAGUUUUCGGAUGAGCUGUGGGUAGGGGUGAAAGGCUAAUCAAACUGGGAAAUAGCUCGUACUCCCCGAAAUGUAUUUUGGUACAGCGUCGGGAUUAAGUUUAGCGGAGGUAGAGCUACCAAUAGGACUAGGGGGAGUCAAAUCCUACCAAAUCCUGAUGAACUCCGAAUGCCGCUAAAUAUGCCCGGCAGUGAGGGCUUGGGUGCUAAGGUCCAAGUCCGAGAGGGAAAGAACCCAGACUAACAGCUAAGGUCCCAAAAUAUAUCCUAAGUUGAACAAAGGAGGUUCAGUUGCAGAGACAGCCAGGAUGUUUGCUCGGAAGCAGCAAUUCAUUUAAAGAGUGCGUAACAGCUCACUGGUCGAGCGACAGGGCAUCGAUAAUAAACGGGCAUCAAGGGUAUUACCGAAGCUUUAGAUUUGUAUCAAGAGAUACAAGUGGUAGGGGAGCAUUCUAAGGCCGGUGAAGGCGGAACGUGAGUUCUGCUGGAGGGCUUAGAAAAGCAAAUGUAGGAAUAAGUAACGAUAAUAAGGGUGAGAAUCCCUUACACCGAUAGACUAAGGUUUCCUGAUCAACGUUCGUCGGAUCAGGGUUAGUCGGGACCUAAGGCGAACCCAUUGUAGUGGUGGGACAGUCGAUGGACAACUGGUUAAUAUUCCAGUACUUGUGUAUACUGCUAUGGAGAGACGGAGUAGUGAAAAGUUCGCGUGGUGACGGAAUACCACGUUAAAACCAGUAGAUAUAUUUGGGGUAGGCAAAUCCGCCCCGAAUGUCGAAGGUGAUAGUACAACAAAGCUUCGGCAGCGUUGAUAGUGACUGUAAACAGACUUCCAAGAAAAUCUUCUAUGCUUCAGGUAUACACGACCCGUACCGCAAACCGACACAGGUAGUCAAGGAGAGAAUCCUGAGGUGCGCGAGUGAUUCACGGCUAAGGAACUCGGCAAAUUAACCCUGUAACUUCGGGAGAAGGGGUGCUUCCUCUAGCGAUAGAGAAGCCGCAGUGAAAAGUCUCAGGCGACUGUUUAACAAAAACACAUGGCUCUGCGAAAUCGAAAGAUAAAGUAUAGGGCCUGACACCUGCCCGGUGCCGGAAGGUUAAGAGGGGGGCUUAGCGUAAGCGAAGGUCUGAAUCGAAGCCCCGGUAAACGGCGGCCGUAACUAUAACGGUCCUAAGGUAGCGAAAUUCCUUGUCGGGUAAGUUCCGACCUGCACGAAUGGUGUAACGAUCUGAGAACUGUCUCAGCCGUGAGCUCGGUGAAAUUGUAGUAGCGGUGAAGAUGCCGCUUACCCGUCACGGGACGGAAAGACCCCGUGCACCUUUACUAUAGCUUUGCAUUGAUUUUGGGUAAAUGAUGUGUAGGAUAGGUGGGAGGCUUUGAAGCGGGUACGCUAGUAUUCGUGGAGCCAACGUUGAAAUACCACCCUUUAUUUACUUGGAGUCUAACCCCUGAAUAGGGAAACAGUGCAUGGUGGGUAGUUUGACUGGGGUGGUCGCCUCCAAAAAAGUAUCGGAGGCUUCUAAAGGUUCCCUCAGUACGCUUGGUAACCGUACGUAGAGUGCAAUGGCAUAAGGGAGCUUGACUGUGAGACAAACAAGUCGAUCAGGUACGAAAGUAGAGCAUAGUGAUCCGGUGGUUCCGCAUGGAAGGGCCAUCGCUCAAAGGAUAAAAGGUACGCCGGGGAUAACAGGCUGAUCUCCCCCAAGAGCUCACAUCGACGGGGAGGUUUGGCACCUCGAUGUCGGCUCGUCACAUCCUGGGGCUGGAGAAGGUCCCAAGGGUUCGGCUGUUCGCCGAUUAAAGUGGCACGCGAGCUGGGUUCAGAACGUCGUGAGACAGUUCGGUCCCUAUCUGUGAUGGGCGUAGGAAGUUUGAGUGGACCUGACCUUAGUACGAGAGGACCGGGUUGGACUAACCUCUGGUGUAUCUGUUGUGCCGCCAGGUGCAGUGCAGAGUAGCCACGUUGGGACGAGAUAAGCGCUGAAAGCAUCUAAGCGCGAAACUCACCACAAGAUGAGACUUCCAUACAGGGACGUCAGAGACUAUGACGUUGAUAGGCUGCAAGUGUAAAGUCAGAAAUGGCAUAGCUGAGCAGUACUAAUUACCCGAUAAUUUUCUUU